AUUGAACGCUGGCGGCAGGCCUAACACAUGCAAGUCGAACGGUAACAGGAAGAAGCUUGCUUCUUUGCUGACGAGUGGCGGACGGGUGAGUAAUGUCUGGGAAACUGCCUGAUGGCGGGGGAUAACUACUGGAAACGGUAGCUAAUACCGCAUAACGUCGCAAGACCAAAGAGGGGGACCUUCGGGCCUCUUGCCAUCGGAUGUGCCCAGAUGGGAUUAGCUAGUAGGUGGGGUAACGGCUCACCCAGGCGACGAUCCCUAGCUGGUCUGAGAGGAUGACCAGCCACACUGGAACUGAGACACGGUCCAGACUCCUACGGGAGGCAGCAGUGGGGAAUAUUGCACAAUGGGCGCAAGCCUGAUGCAGCCAUGGCGCGUGUAUGAAGAAGGCCUUCGGGUUGUAAAGUACUUUCAGCGGGGAGGAAGGGAGUAAAGUUAAUACCUUUGCUCAUUGACGUUACCCGCAGAAGAAGCGCCGGCUAACUCCGUG
rnacentral:rRNA from 1 species